rnacentral:rRNA from 1 species
AUUGAACGCUGGCGGCAGGCCUAACACAUGCAAGUCGAACGAGUGGCGGACGGGUGAGUAAUGUCUGGGAAACUGCCCGAUGGAGGGGGAUAACUACUGGAAACGGCAGCUCAUACCGCAUACCAUCGGAGCUUCCCAGAGGGGAUUAGCUAGUUGGUGGGGUAAAGGCUCACCAAGGCGACGCUCCCUAGCUGGUCUGAGAGGAUGACCAGCCACACUGGAACUGAGACACGGUCCAGACUCCUACGGGAGGCAGCAGUGGGGAAUAUUGCACAAUGGGCGCAAGCCUGAUGCAGCCAGGCCGCGUGUAUGAAGAAGGCCUUCGGGUUGUAAAGUACUUUCAGCGAGGAGGCGUUACCCGCAGAAGAAGCACCGGCUAACUCCGUGCCAGCCGCCGCGGUAAUAC